UUUAUUGGAGAGUUUGAUCCUGGCUCAGGACGAACGCUGGCGGCGUGCCUAAUACAUGCAAGUCGAGCGAAUCAUGAGGUGCUUGCACCUCUUGGUUAGCGGCGGACGGGUGAGUAACACGUGGGCAACCUGCCUGUAAGACUGGGAUAAC
rnacentral:rRNA from 1 species